rnacentral:rRNA from 1 species
GUCCACGCCGUAAACGAUGAUCACUCGAUAUUGGCGAUAUACGGUCAGUGUCCAAGCGAAAGUGCUAAGUGAUCCACCUGGGGAGUACGGUCGCAAGACUGAAACUCAAAGGAAUUGACGGGGGCCCGCACAAGCGGUGGAGCAUGUGGUUUAAUUCGAUGAUACGCGAGGAACCUUACCAGGGCUUGAAUGCAGUGUGCUUUAGUGGGAAACCAUUAUUUCUUCGGACAGACUGCAAGGUGCUGCAUGGCUGUCGU